GAUGAACGCUGGCGGCGUGCCUAAUACAUGCAAGUCGAGCGAAAAGACGAUGAGCUUGCUCCUCGCACGUUAGCGGCAGACGUGAGAGUAACACGUGUAUACCCUCCCUAUCAGACUGGGAUAACUUCGGGAAAGCGGAUCUAAUACCGGAGAAUAUAUUGAACCGCAGGGGUCAAUAGAGAAAGACGGUGUUGGUGUCUCGUAUAGAUGCAUCUGCGCCGCAUGAGCUAGUUGGUAAGUUAACGGCUUACCAAGGCAACGAUGCGUAGCCGACGUGUGGGGGUGAUCGGCCACACUGGAAGGGAGACAGGCUCAAGAGUCCUGCGGUAGGCCGCAGUAGGGAACGUUCGGCAAUGGGCGAAAGUCUGGCGGAGUAGCGCCGCGUGAGUUAUGAAGGUCUCCGGAUCGUAAUAAUCUCUUAUUAGGGAAGAACAAAUUUGUAAUUAACUGUGGCCGGAUUGACGGUACCUAAUCAGAAAGCCACGGCUAACUACGUG
rnacentral:rRNA from 1 species